rnacentral:rRNA from 1 species
GUUAGUACGCGUGGGACGUACCCUUUUCUAAGGAAUAGCCUCGGGAAACUGAGAGUAAUACCUUAUACGCCCUUCGGGGGAAAGAUUUAUCGGAGAAGGAUCGGCCCGCGUUAGAUUAGAUAGUUGGUGGGGUAAUGGCCUACCAAGUCUACGAUCUAUAGCUGGUUUUAGAGGAUGAUCAGCAACACUGGGACUGAGACACGGCCCAGACUCCUACGGGAGGCAGCAGUGGGGAAUCUUAGACAAUGGGCGCAAGCCUGAUCUAGCCAUGCCGCGUGUGUGAUGAAGGCCUUAGGGUCGUAAAGCACUUUCGCCAGGGAUGAUAAUGACAGUACCUGGUAAAGAAACCCCGGCUAACUCCGUGCCAGCAGCCGCGGUAAUACGGAGGGGGUUAGCGUUGUUCGGAAUUACUGGGCGUAAAGCGUACGUAGGCGGAUCAGAAAGUAUGGGGUGAAAUCCCAGGGCUCAACCCUGGAACUGCCUCAUAAACUCCUGGUCUUGAGUUCGAGAGAGGUGAGUGGAAUUCCGAGUGUAGAGGUGAAAUUCGUAGAUAUUCGGAGGAACACCAGUGGCGAAGGCGGCUCACUGGCUCGAUACUGACGCUGAGGUACGAAAGUGUGGGGAGCAAAC